rnacentral:rRNA from 1 species
CCGCCGGCGACGGUGUGGUACAACCCGAUGCCGUCGUCACCGGGGACACAGCGGGUGUACGGUGACGGCAUCUACGAUCUCUUCCACUUCGGCCAUGCUCGUGCGCUCGAACAGGCCAAGAAAUCAUUCCCCAACACCUAUUUGCCCGUGGGCUGGUGCAGUGACGAGGUCACUCAGUGGUACAAGGGCAAGACCGUCAUGACCGAGGAGGAGUGCUACGAAUCGCUUCGCCAUUGCAAGUGGGUCGACCAAGUCAUACCUGAUGCUCCCUGGAUUGUCAACCAGGAGUUCCUCAACAAGAACCGCAUCGACUACGUCGCGCACGACGCGCUUCCAUCAAUGCAGACACUAGGAGCUGCCAAUGACGACUACGAAUUUGUCAAGUCCAUUGGGAGGUUCAAGGAGACCAAGCGCACCGAUGGCAUCUCGACAUCGGACAUCAUCAAGAGGAUCUUGAAGGACUACAACCAGUACAUCAUGUGGAAUAUCACCCGGGGUUACACCCGAAAAGACCUCGGUGUGAGCUAUGUCAAGGAGAAGCAAUUUAGAGUGAACAUGGGCAUUACCAAGCUAAAAGAGAAGGUCAAGGAGAUCAAGAGAAGGUGA